rnacentral:rRNA from 1 species
GACGAACGCUGGCGGCGCGCUUAACACAUGCAAGUCGAACGGAAAGGCCUGCUUUCCCUUGUGGAUUGCGGGUACUCGAGUGGCGAACGGGUGAGUAACACGUGAGUGAUCUGCCCCCAACUUGGGUAUAAGCCUGGGAAACUGGGUCUAAUUCCCGAUAGGACUGCAGGGUGGUGCCUGUGGUGGAAAACGAUUUUCUAGUGGUUGGGGAUGAGCUCGCGGCCUAUCAGCUUGUUGGUGGGGUAAUGGCCUACCAAGGCGGCGACGGGUAGCCGGCCUGAGAGGGUGGACGGCCACAGUGGGACUGAGAUACGGCCCAGACUGCUACGGGAGGCAGCAGUGGGGAAUAUUGCACCAUGGGCGGAAGCCUGAUGCAGCGACGCCGCGUGGGGGAUGACGGCCUUCGGGUUGUAAACUCCUUUCGACCGCGAGGAAGCCACCUGGUUGGAAGGGUGGUGACGGUAGUGGUAGAAGAAGCACCGGCUAACUACGUG